rnacentral:lncRNA from 1 species
UUCUGAUUGGGAGCUCAUGGAACGUAGCAGCUUCCAAGGUAUCUGGAUCUUUGAAAAGAAAAGAAAGAGGUGGAAAGGAGGUAGGAUUGUAGAUGGUGGUGAUUCACUCACCAGGGUGUAACACAGAUGCUUCCUACAUACCUGCUUGCAAAAUUCUGCAGUGGUAAGUAAAAUAAACGUCUGUUUUCUAAAAGGAAAUUGACAUCAGAAAAUUGCGGUGCUGUUAGAUUGAGUUGCUAGGUUCUUUGGAUAGAAUUAAGGAAAUUUAAACCACAUGAGUGUAUGAGAUCCAAAUUUUCCAUUAAAGUUGUAACUCGACUUCUUGCCUGUGUAAUUAGUUUAGAAAUCCAAUAUCCUACCUUUUCAUAAAUCUAACUCAACUACAACAAAAUUGAUUUUGUAAUGACUAUACCCCACGAGGACAUGAAUAAUACAUUCAUACAAUCCUUCUUGAUUAAAAUAUCCCAUGAAGUGCUAACAACCUGAUUUUAGAUUUCAUGACUGCAGAAAACCAAAAAAUGGAAGGAAAAAGAAAAGUUUCCCAUCAAUAAAACCUGCAAAGGGAUUGUGACUGUUAGGAAAAUGCUCAGGAAGUAUUUCCCUGAGGAAAGUAGUUAGAAAAAUGUGUUUUGAAAAAAUGUAUUUUGUGUAUUAAGUUCCAAGUACAGCCGUCGAGUUAGAUGCAGACCUCUGGCUGUUGUCCAGAGGACUUAGGAAGAUGGGAAGUAUGGAUAGUCCUGUCCUAUACCCAGUGCUGAGCCUUUCUCCAAGGGACCUGUUUCUUUUCCUGGCACAUACAAAGAAAGAAGAGGUACAUGAUUUCUUAUGGACUUUUAGUUUUGCAUUUAAUUGUUACUUGUAUCCUAUAUUUCUGAUAGUCAUAACACAGGAAUUGUUAAAUAUAAUUCCACGCUUCAGAUAGGCAGUUGCUGUGAAAUAUUUUGCUCUGAAAGACAUUGCAAAUUGUCAUGUUUGAAGCUAUUUACAUUGCAAGCUAACUGUUCUUCCUUUUUAGUUAUACUAAGCACUACAUUAGGCUAAUGGAUUGAUAUAUUUUUUUUAAUAUUGCAAUGGAAAUUGUACAGAGGAGCUUACCUGCUUCUGUAAGAGUUGCCUGUAAACGUGCAGUGACAGUGAAUGCUAGCAAUAUAUUUGAAGGGGUUUUGUAGAUCAUUAUAUGAGAAAUCCACAUUAUCCCAGGGAAGCAGAGGACCACGACUGAAACAAGAUGAUUUGACGGUGUAAUCAGAAUUAAGCAAGACAAAAGAAAAAACAGUGUGGAACAUUGACUUAAGCAGAACUUUCAGGCUUAAAAGGAGCAUGUGUCAGAGUGUAUCAAAUAUUGUCGCUUCAUUUUAUCCUUCGGUUUUGGGUUCAGUAACUUAUUUCUGAGCUGGAAGCAAGGUAGAGGUUGGGUGUUUUUAUUUAUUUAUUUAUUUAUUUAUUUAUUUUGUAGCAAGGAUCGCUGUUCAGAAAUCCUGUGUGGCAAUCACUGUGUUUUCUUGGCCACAAAAAAGCACUGAAGCCCAGAGCGCAAACUAAGAGCUCAACAAUAACAAAGUAGGAGAGCAUGAAAUUCGGCUAAUUAGAAUGAGCUGCACAUUACUUCACAGAGACAUUGUCACGGUAGGGAAACAGAGCAGGGUGCUAUUUAUCUUGAGUGGAAUAAGUAAACUGUGGCUCAAAGGCAGCAUUAGGAGGAGACUCUUCCCUGUCUUAAUAAUGUAUAAUGUGAAUAGCAUGAGAAUGUUUAAUUUCUUUGCUAUGUCAAUGAGUAUUUGUUAAUUAUAGCACAAACUAAAAUUGUGGGGCUGUGCAAAAUGCAUCCAAUGCUGUGCAACUGCACAACACAGCAUCUGACAAGAAGACAGCAUCAGUCCUCUGUGAGUGGUCAGUUUCCUUUCACAUGGCAUAGAGCAGGAAAAGGGAAAGAACACCCAGCCUGGGGAGCAGGACCCCAAGGACCUCUUUAGGAAAGUGAGGAGAGGAAAGGAGCUACAUGUUUGAAGGAGAGCCUGUCUCUGCUUCCCCUCUGUAGGGAACAGGGAACUCUAAAGGGAAGGGUUUUGGAUGGUACCUGAGGCUGAAGCUGGCUCCCAGGUGUUCUCUCACAGCUCCUUGGGGCUGUUGUUAGUGUGGGUGCUGGAAAAGGCUGAAGUGAGUCCAGGGAUGCAUUUGGUUGGCUUUGUGAUGAUUGAAUGUGCGAGUCUUCCACUCACAGUGGUGGGAAGGAAGCUACAUGUGGUUGGCCUGGGUUAGUGCUAUGGUGGUAAUGGGUUGAUGAGUUGACUGGGUGAUCUUAGUGGUCUUUCCAACUGCAGUGAUUCUACGAUUCUUUGCCUUGCAUUGGGAACCAGACAGAGGCUGAGCACUCUGAGAGGACAUAUGUAAGCAUUCAUCAGUGACACAAGUAGUCCUUGGAUCCUACUGGCAGGGACUCAUCUUUGUCAACAACUUGAUACUGGAAAGGCUUGAGUCUUCCUGGGGUCCUGAAGCAACAGGUUCAGAGUACCUGCCGUAUCUAGCCUCACAGCCCUUGAAGGAUGGAAAGUAAAAGCAAUCUCAACCUCUUCUGGGCUAACUUCAUCAACUGACAAGUUUCAGCAUAUACCAGUCUUUGUUCUUCUGUAACUGCCAUGGUAUGAGUACAGCACCUGGGAAGGUAAGAGAGCACACCUCAGAAAUACUGUUACAGAAAAAGCUUCUCUAUAGCGGUGGUGCAGCUGGUGAUUAUGGAUGCUGCACUGCAUUUGUGUUUUGUCCCAAUUAACCUGCCACCUCCUCUAAAUGAAGCUUGUAGAAAUGUUUCCAUGCAUGACUACCAAAUGUCACUGCAGCUCGGUGCACUCAACAGAGGG